UACAGAGGUCUCAAGCGUUGUUCGGAUUCAUUGGGCGUAAAGGGUGCGUAGGCGGCGCGGUAAGUCGGGUGUGAAAUCUCGGAGCUUAACUCCGAAACUGCAUUCCAUACUGCGGUGCUUGAGGACUGGAGAGGAGACUGGAAUUUACGGUGUAGCAGUGAAAUGCGUAGAGAUCGUAAGGAAGACCAGUGGCGAAGGCGGGUCUCUGGACAGUUCCUGACACUGAGGCACGAAGGCCAGGGGAGCAAACGGG
rnacentral:rRNA from 1 species